UCUGCGCCUCGGAGGCCUGAGUGUGGGCGACUUCCGGAAGGUGCUGAUGAAGACAGGCCUGGUGCUGGUGGUGCUGGGCCAUGUGAGCUUCAUCACAGCUGCCCUGUUCCAUGGCACAGUGCUGCGCUACCUCCCUAGCACCCCCCUGCGCUGGACAGUGUUUAGCUCGAGCGUGGCCUGUGCUCUCCUUUCUCUGACCUGUGCCCUCGGCCUCUUGGCCUCCA
rnacentral:lncRNA from 1 species